GACCACAGCACUGAUGUGCUGCAGCUUGCUUUGCAGCCUGUAUACAAUUAAGAAAAAAAGUUUUUGGUUUUAGUUUUUUUUCCAAAGGAAGUACUCUGUGUAUUCAUUUACUUUUCCUUAAGGGCCAACUGAGGUUGUUUUCAGAACUGAAUUUGAGAUUUUGAGCAGGUUUGAGAAUCUACCAAGCCCUCAUGUUAUUAGUGCUCUGUUUCUCCUGAGACUGAAUUGCAUUGUUACCUGCUCUUUCUUCAGAAAUUAUUGUGUAUUGUUAACUUAUGUUUCCAUUCAUGUAAUAACAGGGUAGUUGAGCAAAUGAUGAUGGUGAGGAAAUGAUAAGAGGACUCUAUUUUCUGCUGCUCUGUAGAUCUGCCAACUGACUGUGAUGAAAUGUGAUUGGUUGUGUUCAAGGCCAAACCCAUGGUGACAGUGAUAUCUCUGGGACACCUAAGCCAGCUGAAGAGGAGCACUGUGGAUUCUAUCAUCAGAUGGUCCUAUUUCCUGCCUUCAUCAUCUGUGCUAGACUCACAUCUGAGGUGGGAGAUCUCAGUUGCCAGCUUCCUUUGGGAAAAAAAAUGCGACCUACAUCUUCGUGUGUUGAUGAUGCUGGGGACUUGCCUUCAAGCCAGGUUUAAGCAGGAGGUACCUGUUUCUGCAAGCCCUGGACAUUCCUCAUUCACAGUGGCAGCAAAAUUGAUAUCCAGCUGCUUCAUCAUCUUGUCUGCAGUCGUGUGAUAGACUCCUGAAGGACCAGUACACUUCAUCCAGAAAGCCAGCAGCGACAGCUUCUUGUGGAACUCUGGGAUUGCUGAGGGAGAAGACAAAAUGAAAGGUGAAACAAAGUUGUGCUCAGUGCGUUGUCUUCCUAAAGGGAAAUGUGAUAGGUGUGGAGGACAUCCACUCCAUCUCGCUGAUGGAAGAUGUGAGAAAAUCUGCUCCCGAUCCAGUUCUGGACACUGAUGUCUCAUCUCUUUGAAUACCAUGAAUUACUAGGGGAAAUACUAGGGGAAAUGAAUGGUCUGCAUGAGACUGGUCCUUGUCCAAGCACUGCUCUGUAGCCUUGGGGGAGCUGGACUAGAUGGCCCUCCCUUGGAAGGGAGAUAGAUCCCUUCCAACUCUAAGGAUUCUACGAUGCUAUGAAUAAGGUUCCUGACCAACUUCAGCGACUGCUACAUCCAUUUGUGAGUUAUCUCCUGCUAUGGUGGCACUCCCUGCAGUCACGAUGGUUAUUUCAGCAGGCCCGCUGCCCAAACCAGCCCUUUUCAGAAGGAAGACCCCUAAUGUGCCUCUUACCAUCGGUAAGGGAGGUGAUGCUUCCCAAGUUCUCGGUGCUGAUCUCUGCAAUAUUCUCCAUUACAAGAGUCUGCCUGGACAGCUUAUCAAGGAGGUCUCUUGUCACAAAUGGUGUUUUACCGGAGAAGACAAUUUGCUAAUGGAGACAAGAUGGAAAGGAAGACGAGUCAUUUUGAAACCUCAAAACAAAACUUAAACCUCUGAAACACCUGGCACCUGAAGAAAUGAGAUGGCAAAUUCUUUGCCUGGAAUUAUCAAAUAUUUCUUGUUGCUCUGCUUUGUUUUGGCUCCGAUCCCCUGCCCAGCUGCCUGUGUUUGGUGCUUUCCCAUGGCCAAUACGCCCCGCUGCUGACAUCUGCAUUUCCUUCAGCAGUCCAACAUCAUUCAUAUCAAACCUGGACAGAGUUCAAGCCUGCCUCCCUCAGCUGCAUAUUUACUGUGAGCUCUUGUAUAUGAGCCAAAAACUCCCUUUUUCUCAUACUCGUGAGUCAGUGGAGUGUCCAGCUCAGUGCUAAGGGUACUGGAAUUAGGGUUGUUCUGCAUUGCUCCAGUGGGCUUCUGGGAAAAAAUGCUGAUUAUAUCUCAAGUUGAAGAGUCCGCUCCAAAAUGCUGUGACUGUUGUGGUGGGGGUGAAGAAUACCAGGAGGGGAGGCUCCCACUGCCACCACAGCCAUCCCAGCACUCGCUGGCCUUGCCAAACCAUUUACACCCACAAAAAUGUAAAAAUAUAAUGCAGAAAUGAGCCGGGCUCGGUACCUGGAUGA